rnacentral:tRNA from 1 species
CGGGCUCAUAACCCGAAGGUCGCAGGUUCAAAUCCUGCCCCCGCUACCA